AUGUUGUCUAUUCUUUUAGCACAUUAGUUAAGCAGUAUGAGGAAAGCCUUUUCUCCAAUGAUACCAUUCAAUUUCUACACAAAGUAUAUUAUUGUUAGGAACUUGUUAUUUACUUUGGUUGCUUGGGCAGGCCUUAGAUUGUUAAAUUUCUCCUCAAGGAGUUGUCCUACAAUUCAAUUAUCUAUUUGGCCAAAACUAUUACACGUAACUGAGGAGUCCCAGGAUUAGACUCACAAGCCACAUUGGCUAUUUAGUUUGGAAGUGAAUUAGUAUUGAUUAGAUUGAGGCUUUAUUGGUUUCGGCUAUGUUCAGAUUACAAUGACA
rnacentral:misc_RNA from 1 species